GUACUCAUUCAUAGAGAACAGCCAAAAUCUAUUAACUUCUAUUUCCUUCCUUUUCAGAGGAGAAAACUGAACCAUCUAUCCUAUGACUUCAGCAACAAUCAAAGAAAUACUUGUAAGCAUGCAUUAAACAGUUCUUUUAUUUUUCCCUUUGGCUGUGUUUAACAGUUCAAGGUAAACUAAUGAAAGAAGAAACCUAUCUAUAUUGUAUUUCUGAAAUUGAAGUAUAUGAAGUUAAAAGGAGUCAACCAAGGAUAGAGAACGAUUGGUACCAUUGACUACAGGAAACUUCCAGAAAAUUAAUUUUAGUACAGAAGGAAUUGAGACAUGGAGGGUGUAACGUCAAAAGAGGAGCUCCAAAUGAAUGUGUGGAGGGCAGAAAAAGAGAAAUGUGUCAGUUUGAUUUUCCCUCUUAAGAAACCACAAAGUUGACAGUGGCCCGAAGUGUCAACUAGGCACUGUUCUUUAGGAUUGUGUCACUGAAAAGAAAAUGUUCUUGAGUUCUGAAGUACAGCCUGGGCAAGAAAGAACAAGAGUUUUCUCUCUGUAAUUCAGUGGAAUUGAAAUUCUUCGACCCAGGCAACAGACUGCAAUAGAAAUGAGAGCAUGAACAUUCAGAGCCAGACUUCCAGGGCCUUCUGCUUUUCUGUGACUUCCAUGACUCCAUUAUGAAUCUUCAUCUAGACUGACCUGUUGCAGGAUUAGACCAAUGUCAUAGAACCCAGUCAGUCCAUACCUUCUGCCUGUAUCCUUAACAUCACUGUGAGAGGCCAGCUAAGGUUAAGCCUCAUGUAAAUUUAACUUAAAACUUGGACAAAUCUUGGCCUAAUAACCUGGCAGAUGCUUGCAUCCCACAUGCCUUGCUGGAUAUCUUUUCCUGAGUCUUUGGGCUGUAACUCAGACACACAAAUCAAGUUUUCUAUGUACUGGAUUCCUGACAUUUUCAAAGAGACAGUGCCUAGAAAGAGUCAGUGACAGAAAAUAUGAAGAGAGGAUACAAUGAGAACACAGUGUGGAAACCUGCCCUAAGGAAGCAAGCAGAAAGGAGGAAAGCAUUUGCAGCCUGGGAAGCAAAUGGUGCUGUUAGAAAGUACAUCUUUCCAGAAGAAACUGUGUUGACUACCUGAUCUUCAUGACAAAUAAACAUGAGUUGGUGAGUCAUUUUCGAUGUUAAAGUAAUUAGACCAAUAUAAUUGUAGUAAAGUGGGGAUUUCAUUACAGAUUCAAAGAAAAGUCUUGUUGAGAAAGAAUAACAAUUUGGAAAAUUCCUGAUCAUCAACAGAGACUAAGAAACUAAUCACAUGGGCAAUGCUAAACUAUUCUCAUUAGCAAAUGGACUUACCUCUUGGGAAGGAGGUGGUAUUAUUAACAAAUGAAAGCUUUGUUUCCAUAUGACAGGUAAUAUCAUUAAAAUGACCAUUUUUAUAAAGACCAAGCAUCAAGUUGUUACUUCACUGCAACAAUACUUAUGAAAUCAAACUCCAUGCAACACAGUAUGCAUCAUGUAGAGUUUACAAAUGUGAAAGUGUAAGGUCUCAUUGACUUUCUUCAACCAGCUUAAUGUCUUGAGGGAAUGUCUUUACAUCUCUACCAUCACUAUCCAUACCAUGUAUUUGUGACUUUGCAUGUUGACACAUAAAUAUAUACAAGCAGAAAUUUUGCAGUGUAAAAAUGAUAUGUAAUACAUAUUAUUGUUUGACUGCAAUGCUUUAAAUGCUAGAAAUAAAAGACUACUUAAAAUGUUGUCUGUAUCAUCUAACAUACAAUUUAGCAUAGAGAAAAGACUUAAAAGGAAAUGUCUAUAAAGGCAUACUUUAUUAUUAAGUAAAGUAGUAAAGGAAGCAACAAAAUUUAUAUUCUAUGCAUUAAGCAAAGCAUAGAGAAGGAAGUAAUCUUAACUAAGGGCACUAAGCUUAUACAGAAUCUCAUGAAUCUAUUCCGGUGAGGUAGGAAGAGGAAGCAAGAAAUCUUCAGAUAAUGGAAGAAUAGAAUGCCAUGUGUAGAAACUGGGGAGUAUAUAUGGGUUGCAGACACACACACACACACACACACACACACACACACACACACACACACACACACACACACUCUUUGACAGUGUACAGAGUACAACACAUGCAGUGACAAGAGAGCUCCAAAGCUCUGGUGGAAAGCAUAGAACUUGACAUCUUACAGAAUCUAAACAAUAGUAUAUCAUCAAAAGUAAAAAUCAUCACCUUUAUUUAGUUAAAUUUAUAUUGUUAUUGUAUUUCCAUUUUGAUUCUAGAUGGAAAAAUGUUCUUUAAAGGCCUAUGUGCUGAAGGUUUUGCUGCUAGCCAUUGAAACCCUUGGGGAGGGGUGACUUUAUGAUGUGUGGUCUCGUUGGAGGAAGUUGGAUCUUUGGGCAAUAGUCUUGAAAAGAAUUCUAGGACCCAGGAACUUUCUUCAUUGUCACGAAGAGCUUCCUUCAUCAUGCAUUCCUGGCAUGAGAUGCUGCCUGGUCUCACAUACAAAAGCAAUAUAAACUGACCAUGGACUGAAUCUUUCAAACUGUGAGCCAAAAUAAACUUUUUCUCUAUUCAGGUUUAUAUCAGGUGUUUGCUACAGCAACAGAAAGGUAAAUCAUGCCCACACACACACACACACACACACAUGCACACACACACAUACACACGCACACAUACCAGCACACACAUGUGCACAUACAAAUAUAUAAAACUAACCAUUAUCUUUAUAUAAACAUAAUUCGGCAUAAAAUACAAAUUACUUACAUGUAAAAAGGUACUCACAUGUUGAAGUAUUUACAUUUCAGAAGGCAAGUCUAUGAGAUACACCAUAUCCCAUUUCUUCAUGAAGCAUCUACUGGAUCUCAGGUGUAAGUUAUGAUAGAAACAAAUAACUUCUCAAUUUCCUCCCUAUCUUUCUUAUAAUAAUAUAUUAAUUAUUUUAUUUUGUAAUUAUUUACACUAUUAAGUAUACAUGAAUCUAUAUUUACAGUAUUAAGAAUAUAUUCAAUGGCCAUUUUAGACUUUAUUUAGGCAUUUUAAUUUCCUGCAAUUAAUAAAAAUGAAAAGAGAGACAGGAGGAGGAGAGAGUGAGAAGCCAUGGCAGGUGACAUUAAGAUUCUGCUCUGUGUAUUUACAGGUUGUUAUUAAUUUUCCUAAGGGAUGGAUGGUACUGGGCUUUGUAUGUUUAAGUGGGCAAUUAUAUCUUAUCAAUUGGGUCAAAGAUUAUUGUGUUGUGUGUGCUUUUAUGUGAGGGUUUGAGUGUAGGAAAGUGUGCGGCUGCAAAAGACACUGGGCCGCCGAGGAGUGGGGAUGUGUUUCCACCAAGAUAUCUAGCAGAUAUCUUGGGACACUAUGGUGCCAGAGCUAGCGGGGUAAAAGACAACUUUACUUUUUCAUUUUUAUAUUUUUACAACAGAUGGCAAACCAAGGUGAUGGGCAAGAAUCCACUAGUAAUCCUAAGAGUUGAGAGAAAGUUUUUACUUUCUAAGUAAG